rnacentral:rRNA from 1 species
UACGAAGGGGGCUAGCGUUGCUCGGAAUUACUGGGCGCAAAGCGCACGUAGGCGGCUUUCUAAGUCGGGGGUGAAAUCCUGGAGCUCAACUCCAGAACUGCCUUCGAUACUGGAGAGCUUGAGUCCGGGAGAGGUGAGUGGAACUGCGAGUGUAGAGGUGAAAUUCGUAGAUAUUCGCAAGAACACCAGUGGCGAAGGCGGCUCACUGGCCCGGUACUGACGCUGAGGUGCGAAAGCGUGGGGAGCAAACAGG